GACGAAGGGGGCGGGCGUUAUCCAUGAUGACUGGGCGUAAAGAGUCCGUAGGCAGCUUUUCUAGUUAGAAGUAAAAUCAAAAAGCUUAACUUUUUGAGGCUUUUAAAACGUUAGAGCUUGGAGUUUGAAGGGAAAUAGUAGAAUUUCAUAUGGAGGGGUGAAAUCCGUAGAAUUAUGAAGGAAUACUGAUGGCGAAGGCGACUAUUUAUUUCAAUCUGACGCUGAGGGACGAAAGCAUGGGGAGCAAACAGGAUUAGAUACCCUGGUAGUCCAUGCCGUCAAAGAUGAGUGCUCUUGUUUGGAUUAAAUUUUGGGCAAUUAGUUAACACAUCAAGCACUCCGCCUGGGGAGUACGGCCGCAAGGACGGA
rnacentral:rRNA from 1 species